GCCUGGAUAGUUCAGUUGGCUAGCACGUGGUGCUGAUGACGCCAAGGUUGCAGGUUCGAUCCCUGUAUGGGACA